rnacentral:rRNA from 1 species
AACGUAGGUGGCAAGCGUUAUCCGGAUUUACUGGGCGUAAAGGGUGUGCAGGCGGGGGAGCAAGUGGGGUGUGAAAUCUCCAGGCUUAACCUGGAGGGGUUAUGCCAGACUGCUUUUCUAGAGGACGAGAGAGGGGGGUGGAAUUCCGGGUGUAGUGGUGAAAUGCGCAGAUAUCAGGAGGAACACCGAUGGCGAAGGCAGGUCUCUGGGCCACUACUGACGCUGAGAAGCGAAAGCAUGGGGAGCGAACAGG